CUUCAGGGAGAGAUUUGAUCAGUAAGGCUACUGGCUAUAUUCCAGGACUCAUCUGGUCCUGGGUAUAACCAAAGCAUGACUAUACGGUUCUAAAA
rnacentral:pre_miRNA from 14 species